CAAUAGCGUAUAUUAACGUUGUUGCAGUUAAAAAGCUCGUAGUUGGGUUUCUGGAGGGAGCGUCGGCCCGUAUUUACGAGUGCGUGACGUCUCUGUCCAUCCUUGCGGGAAGGCACGGCAUUGAUUUGUUGUGUCGGAUCGCAUCAUUUACUGUGAAAAAAUUAGAGUGUUCAAAGCAGGCUUUCGCUUGAAUACAUUAGCAUGGAAUAAUAAGAUAGGACUUUGGUGCUAUUUUGUUGGUUGAGCCUAAAGUAAUGAUUAAUAGGGAUAGUUGGGGGCACCUGUAUUGCGUUGUCAGAGGUGAAAUUCUUGGAUUUACGCAAGACAAACAGCUGCGAAAGCGUCUGCCAAGGAUGUUUUCAUUA
rnacentral:rRNA from 1 species